CGGAGGAUCCAAGCGUUAUCCGGAAUCAUUGGGUUUAAAGGGUCCGUAGGCGGUUUGGUAAGUCAGUGGUGAAAGCCCAUCGCUCAACGGUGGAACGGCCAUUGAUACUGCCAGACUUGAAUUAUUAGGAAGUAACUAGAAUAUGUAGUGUAGCGGUGAAAUGCUUAGAGAUUACAUGGAAUACCAAUUGCGAAGGCAGGUUACUACUAAUGGAUUGACGCUGAUGGACGAAAGCGUGGGUAGCGAACAGGAUUAGAUACCCUGGUAGUCCACGCCGUAAACGAUGGAUACUAGCUGUUGGGAGCAAUCUCAGUGGCUAAGCGAAAGUGAUAAGUAUCCCACCUGGGGAGUACGUUCGCAAGAAUG
rnacentral:rRNA from 1 species